ensembl:lncRNA
AAGGACUUGUGUUCCUAAUGUAGAGGUAGACAUGAACUUUUUUCCCAGAAACUGUCAUGUUAUGAAAGAAUCCUACUUUCAGUGUAAAACCUAUUGAACCAAUGGAUUUGCACUGAAUUUUACCAACAGUCACAACUGUGUACCUGUCUAUGAAAUCCAGCUCUUUUCUCAGCCCUGUAGAUGCAUUACCUUCUUACAGGCUGAACAAAGCAUUAAGAUUUGCACAGUGCCCAGGGGCAAUCCUGGCAAAUGCAGGAUGUGAAGUUGCCACCACCUCUACUGGUAUGGCUGGAGCUCCAAAUCAGUGUCCAAGCUGCAGCAAAGUGACAGAACUGCCUGCAAAGUCCUGCUUGCAAAGGAAAAUCAAAAGGUAAGCCCCCACUCUGCAAACCUAUUCUGAUCCCGAGCAUUCAUAAGGAAAGCAGUUCAGUCAAAGCAUUCUGCCCUUUGGGAGAAAAAAAGAGACUCUCAUAUUUACCUGCCUUACUAUAGAAAAAAUGUGACUGUUUUAACCCAACUUCUCACUCUCACUUACCCAGAGAGAAUAUAUUUAGCUAUCUCAGAAGCUGUGUAACAAAUAUAAAUUCAAUCAAGCCCAUGCUAUAUUAUGAACAUUGAGAGUAACACCUCACAGUUUGUCCUUACUGCUGCUGCUGCUGAAUGUUACUGGACUUGGCAGAGCCAUCACCAAUGCAGAAGUGAAAGCAGACACAGCCCAGUGUCCUGAGUCCUACUGUAGUCCUCCACAAAGCCCAUAUGGUCAGUCUCCAGACAGCUCUGCUGAAAGAGUUUCCAUGGCUUGAUGUAAACAGAUGAUGAAAGGCUACAAGAAGAUUUUGUAGUCCUGCUUAUGUAUUUUUUCCUGUUUGGCUAAAAGAUGAUGACCCAAGAGCUAGUCAGCAUAUAACUAUUAUAGGCCUUAUAUACAUCAAGAGUCCAGUAUCACAUUUUCAGAUUUCAUUGGUUUCAGUGGUAGCUAAGGAAACUCACAGCUAUGCAAGAAUAGGUGCUAAAUCUAUUUUGCGUACAGAAAUAGUAUUUUGCUUUGGAAAAGCCCCAGCUGAAUUUUGAAGAGACUUUACAAGUUCACAGGCUGCACCUGUAGGUCUAAUGUCUUCAGUAUUCUGCAGAGAAGUCUGUUUCUUGUGUGAAUUCCCUGCAAAUGCAAUCUCAUCUCCUGUCGCGCCACUUAAGCGCUGGCUAUUAGCUAUUACAAGCAAAGUAGUAGCUACAGCUGCACCUCAUCCCCAUUGUACUACAUGUUGGCUCACCAUACCUAGGGGAACCCUCCAAAGCUUUUACACAAAACACUUGGGUAAACAAACAUUGAUUAUUUAUAAAUGAUCUCAUGUUGUUAUGCCAGGGCCAAAAUGAAGAACAGACAUUAGCUGGCCUGUCGACCAGACCUUUUGUUUGGCUGGCUUAGUGCAAAUAAAUCUGCAGUGCUACUGCUGAUGUGUUGCACCUUUGAUUACAGCUCUGACUACCUUGUCGGUAUGUAAGGUGUUCAUAAAUGCGCCAGAGAGUGUCAUAUUCAAAGUGCUGUGCAGAUGUUAAUGACCCUUUUCAAUAUCCUUUCCAUCUGGAGAAAGCCAUCCCAGUGACAUUUCAGAGGUGGCAGAAGGCGCUCGGUAAGGGAUACUCAAACCUGUAUUUCGAACACAUCUGUCCGAAGCUGCAGAGCAAAACACACAAUCAGAAUGUUAAACAGCCUCAUAUAGGAAUGGCCAAAUAUUUGGGUGUCUGUAUAUCCCCCAUUUUCAACAAGCAGAUGAAUCAUGUCAAAGAGAUGAAGGAAAGGUCUCUGCACCUUCAAUUUUCUGUAAGUAGUAAAAAAUACAUGUGGUGGAGUAUUAGAAAUGAUCAGAAAUGAUUCUGUACUCUAAAUAAAUAAUAAUAAAAACAAUUUUUUUUAAAGAAACACAAACGUUUCAAUUAAAAAAAAAAAAAAACAAACAGGAAACGUUUAAUCUCUGGGAUAAAAAUUCUAGGUGGGAAAUCCAGCUGUGUAUAGCCAAGAUCCUCAUCUCACCUAGUGCAGGGGAGAUUCCAGGUCAAGUUCCUCAUCCGAACCAUUGCCCUAACCUACUAGACUAGGAGGCUUUCUUUAAUCUGCCUGUUUUCUACUUUUUCCUCUGU